ensembl:misc_RNA Metazoa_SRP Metazoan signal recognition particle RNA
GCUUGGCACGGUGGUGUGCACCUAUAGUCCCAGCUACUUGGGAGGCUGAGACGGAUGGAUGGCUUGAGUUCAGGAGUUCUGGGCUGUAGUGUUCUAUGCCAAUGGAGUGUCUGCAUAAAGUUCAACAUCAACAUGGUGAUCUCUCGGGAGAGAGGGACCACCAGUUGCCUAAGGAGAGGUGAACUGGCCCAGGUUGGAAAAGGAACAGAUCAAAACUCCCGUGCUGAUGAGUAGUGGUAUCUUAACUGUGAAUAGCUGCUGCACUCCAGCCUGGGCAAUAUAGUGAGAUCCUGGCUCU